rnacentral:rRNA from 1 species
CAAUAGCGUAUAUUUAAGUUGUUGCAGUUAAAAAGCUCGUAGUUGGAUUUCUGCUGAUCGCUGUCGGUCUGCCGUCAGGUGUGUACUGGCAGUGUUUGGCAUCUAUUCGAGAUUGGGUGUCCACUUGAUUGUGUGCACUCGAUGUCGGAGCUAAUACUUUGAGAAAAUUAGAGUGUUCCACGCAGGCGCGUGCCUUGAAUACUGCAGCAUGGGAUAUUGGAAGGCCGAUUGAGUUUUCUUGUUGGUUCUCGGUUUGAUCGGAAUGAUUAAUAGGGAUAGUUGGGGGCAUUCGUAUUCAACUGUCAGAGGUGAAAUUCUUGGAUUUGUUGAAGACGGACUACUGCGAAAGCAUCUGCCAUGGAUGUUCUCAUUGA